AACUAUUAAAUCAAUAGAUGAUGAACUGUAAAUUCAUAUAAGAUAAUAUAUU
rnacentral:tRNA from 1 species